GAAUUGCUGAGUAGUUCCACAAUAGGACGAAACGGCCGUCCAGUUC
rnacentral:hammerhead_ribozyme from 1 species